GACGGCGGCUAUUGCUGUUUGUUGCAGGUGCAGCAGUGGUUUUCACUGCUCCAGUAAUGUGUAACCUUGGACGACUGCGUAAACGUCAUGCAGACUGAUUCUGAGCUUCCUAGCCAAUGGGUACUGGGGGCUCUUUCCCUGGACGUAAAGCUGCAGUGGUGUUAAGCUGGCCGCUCACCUACAUCUAGUGCAAAGACUGUGUAUCAUCAGCUGUUGUUGGAUGACUUGCUUGCUCAUUUCCUUCUUGAUCGGACUCAGUGGGAGCAGCUUGUGUUAUGGCAG